rnacentral:rRNA from 1 species
UACGGAGAAUCCAAGCGUUAUCCGGAUUCACUGGGUUUAAAGGGUGCGUAAGCGGAAUGAUAAGUCAGUGGUGAAAGCCUGCAGCUUAACUGCAGAACUGCCAUUGAUACUGUCAAUCUUGAGUACAUUUGAUGUGGGCGGAAUGUGUCAUGUAGCGGUGAAAUGCUUAGAUAUGACACAGAACACCGAUUGCGAAGGCAGCUCACAAAACUGUAACUGACGACUGAGGCCU